rnacentral:rRNA from 1 species
GAUGAACGCUGGCGGCGUGCCUAAUACAUGCAAGUCGAGCGAACGGACGAGAAGCUUGCUUCUCUGAUGUUAGCGGCGGACGGGUGAGUAACACGUGGAUAACCUACCUAUAAGACUGGGAUAACUUCGGGAAACCGUAGCUAAUACCGGAUAAUAUUUUGAACCGCAUGGUUCAAAAGUGAAAGACGGUCUUGCUGUCACUUAUAGAUGGAUCCGCGCUGCAUUAGCUAGUUGGUAAGGUAACGGCUUACCAAGGCAACGAUGCAUAGCCGACCUGAGAGGGUGAUCGGCCACACUGGAACUGAGACACGGUCCAGACCCCUACGGGAGGCAGCAGUAGGGAAUCUUCCGAAAUGGGCGAAAGCCUGACGGAGCAACGCCGCGUGAGUGAUGAAGGUCUUCGGAUCGUAAAACUCUGUUAUUAGGGAAGAACAUACGUGUAAGUAACUGUGCACAUCUUGACGGUACCUAAUCAGAAAGCCACGGCUAACUACG